CAUGCAAGUCGAGGGGCAGCAUGGUCUUAGCUUGCUAAGACUGAUGGCGACCGGCGCACGGGUGAGUAACACGUAUCCAACCUGCCGUCUACUCUUGGACAGCCUUCUGAAAGGAAGAUUAAUACAAGAUGGCAUCAUGAGUCCGCAUGUUCACAUGAUUAAAGGUAUUCCGGUAGACGAUGGGGAUGCGUUCCAUUAGAUAGUAGGCGGGGUAACGGCCCACCUAGUCUUCGAUGGAUAGGGGUUCUGAGAGGAAGAUCCCCCACAUUGGAACUGAGACACGGUCCAAACUCCUACGGGAGGCAGCAGUGAGGAAUAUUGGUCAAUGGGCGAGAGCCUGAACCAGCCAAGUAGCGUGAAGGAUGACUGCCCUAUGGGUUGUAAACUUCUUUUAUAAAGGAAUAAAGUCGGGUAUGGAUACCCGUUUGCAUGUACUUUAUGAAUAAAGAUCGGCUAACUCCGUGCCAGCAGCCGCGGUAAUACGGAGGAUCCGAGCGUUAUCCGGAUUUAUUGGGUUUAAAGGGAGCGUAGAUGGAUGUUUAAGUCAGUUGUGAAAGUUUGCGGCUCAACCGUAAAAUUGCAGUUGAUACUGGAUAUCUUGAGUGCAGUUGAGGCAGGCGGAAUUCGUGGUGUAGCGGUGAAAUGCUUAGAUAUCACGAAGACUCCGAUUGCGAAGGCAGCCUGCUAAGCUGCAAC
rnacentral:rRNA from 1 species